CCGGACCGAGAGUGCUACGGCGUCAAUCCUUUCUAUCCUCGUCGUGCCCAGCUUCUCUUCCCUCUUUUCCCCUCACUGAUGAACCCUAGCCGCCGUCUCCAUGCCGGAUCCCGCACCCGAGCCUGCCCUCGCCGGCGCCGGCGCUGCUGGUGAGCAUUGGUUUUCAGUUUUAUGUCCAGUUUUAGUCUGACUGGGAGCAUUGUUUAUGGCCAGUUUCAGUUUUAAAGGACCUUUGCAUUUUUCAGUGUGCAGCCCCUCGCCUCAACAUUCAGUUCACAGAUUUUCAGUUCAGUGAUAUUCAACUGAAACUGGAUGGUAAGUUUUCAGUGACCAUGUUGAGGCGAACAACAGUUCAUGUCACUGAAAAUAGAAUGACCAUGCAUUUUUCAUAGAAUGGCCAUAUUCAGUUCACAGAAAUAAAUGGACCGCAGUUCACAGAUUAGAAUUCAGUUCACAGAUUACAACCGGAAUUCAGUUCACACAGAUUAAAUGGACUGCAGUUCACACAGCAGUUCAUAGAUUAGAAUUCAGCGGCUAGGGUUGCCAUGCUGCCUGUGCCGUACACCAUCACACAGCUAGAGCUAGUUCAAUUCCCUUUCCCUUCCCGUUGUCACCCCUCUGUUCAGUCCACACCACACCCUCCUCAACCGCACCGUCGUCGUCUAGCCGACUAGCGGCGGGAGCUAUAGCUUCGACGAGCCGACGACAAACACCAACAGGAGGGGAAAGGAGGGAAGAGAAGCUAGGGCCUAGGGAGGGAGGAGAGCUGCUGGGAGACGACGACGAGAAGACUGGCGCCGUAACGCUAGCCGUCCGUGACCUGCGCCUGAUAGACCUUACUGAAAGAUCGCAAGGCUAACAACGACGACUGCUGAUGGUAUUUUUCUAUUAUGGCAAAGAGAAGACUUGUAUCCUUUCUAUUUUGAUAAACAUGUGUACACCGAAUUGAAGCUCAGUUCUGUAGGAGGUGACUCAUUUCCGUUGAACAUAUUCAUCGACGCCACUCGUGUUUUGUUCAUCGACAUUAAUUCUAUACACGAUGCUUGGGUUUAGAAUACAUGUGUUUGGUAGGCUAAGUUGUACAAUACUGAUUCCUCCAUUUGUUUACCAAUCUGAAGUUGACAGUACCAAGUUAAAUUCACCACGAACCGUCCAGACAACACCCACACACAACAUUCCAAGUAGCAAAAUAUCUAUUACAACCAAUAUGAUCAAGUUCAUGGUUUCUAUAAACCAACAUGAUCUGGUCUUCUUACUUUUGUCCUUGCUAGAGUCUCGACCUAAGAAACGCUUCGAUGUUGUGCUUCCAGGACACGAGUCUUCAGGGUCUAUGUCAAUGGUGUUGGAUCCAAGCGGAGUAGCUUGAACGGUCCGUGCUUGCUAACCAGUGUUGUGAUCCAUCCAUAUGGGCUCAUCCUUCAGAAUGAACCAACAAUGAAGAAGAGUAAAUGAGUGCUUUUCAAUCGUAGCAUAUCGAGAAGCCGCUAAAGAUGUUUGCAUAUUAAAGAAAAAUACAUGAGCCAUUGCGACAUGUAUAUGUGACAAUGAAAAGAAUGGCAUUUGCAAUUCAAUGUACAACAAAGUACCUUGUCAACAUCGGAAACCCCACUCGGUUUCUCAUGGAGAAAAUUUUCCAUGUAGUCUAAGAAAAUCGAGCAUUA
rnacentral:lncRNA from 1 species